ensembl:lncRNA
CAGAAAUUAAAGUGAAUUUAUCCUCACAAUCAAGUUGAAGACUCCUACAUCAAGUAACGUGUGAUAUUUAACCAGAGUUCGCAAUUUUUAUGUUAAUUGGCUACUUUAUUCUAGACCUUAUUUUUGGAAGUAUUUUGUUACUUCAAAGGAGACACAUUCCAGCUGUCACUUCAACCAAACAUCACUAUUUGAGAUUUCACCUUCUUGCCCGUUAAAGAACUGUUUGGUGCCUUGCUGUGUGUGAUUUACUUUCCAAACCUUGAAAUGCAACACAUACCGUGGCAAGCUGGCGCGAACACUUGGAAGUCGGUCCGGCACUCCUGGCGCGGAGAUGAACAUGGUGCUCGCGGGUGUCGGAUAUUCUCGCAGCCCGGGAGGAAGUCGCUGAGAAGGUCAGUCCGUUACACAUGCUCUUGGCCUGUCCUGUUCAGAAGAGUCAUUUGAGCGUGUGCAAGUCCCAUCAUCCCUGUUAUGAGUGCUCACUAUCACGCAGGCGUUAUUCUUUUAUAGUGACUAGGAACCACGUUUCCUACCUGAGAAACACGCCGCAUCACGUUGCCUCCUCACACGUGCGUGCGGGUGGCAGCUCGCUGUUGGAGCUCAGAAACCUCUGUCCCUCAUGUGCCAAGAUAUUUGAGGUGAUGGUACCCGGGCCAGCGUGUCUCCCCUGCAGAGUAUCACCACCCAGGACAACUCCACAAAGGUUCGAGACCAGCUUGCUGUGCUCAUCUACUGCUGGAGGCUGCUUCUGGGCCUGAAGGUGAGUUAGUGAUCCCUAUGUCUGCAGGGAAUAUGGCUUGUUUUACUUUGGAUUCUGG